rnacentral:rRNA from 1 species
GUACACACCGCCCGUCACACCAUGGGAGUUGGUUCUACCCGAAGGCGAUGYGCUAACCGCAAGGAGGCAGUCGACCACGGUAGGGUCAGCGACUGGGGUGAAGUCGUAACAAGGUAGCCGUAGGUGAACCUGCAGAAGGAUCA